UGAAAUUCGUAUUUAGAACCAACGCACCAUGCAAAUGCACGUCAAAAUUACAGAUACCACAACCGGACAGUGUCCAAAAAAUCUUCAUACAAUUCACUUAAACUACAAAAAAGUAAUUUUCAUACAAACUUAGAUACUGUCAAUGUCACUUUUUUUUUGGUGCAUCUGCAUGGUGCGUUGAUAUAAGGGUGUUAUAAAUAUUCCCAUAACUGUUUGUCUCCUGUCACUUUGUUUAGAUCUUCAAAAAUUCUAAGGUGAGAAGAGCUGAUCUUGAACAUAAGGACAAAAAAACGAAGAAAAUAUAAGGGAAAUCGAUAGAUCGAUUGGUCAGGAAAUGGCAACGUUAAAUGUGGCGGAAAAAUUGUUGAUCGACAGUAACAAAUAUUUGAGCAAAGUUGUAAAUU